rfam:Aedes aegypti strain Liverpool supercont1.142 genomic scaffold, whole genome shotgun sequence.
UGCCCAGCAACUCCUAUCCCUACCUCCUCGCGGUACUGGCCGGGGUACGAGUAACCUUAGGAAAGAUCGGGUAACCAACCCCCGGUGGGAACUUUGGUCGUAUGCUGACAAGGAAAUGG